CAAACUGGGAUUAGAUACCCCACUAUGCUUAGCCCUAAACUCAGGUAUUUAACCUAACAAAAAUACCCGCCAGAGAACUACUAGCAAUAGCUUAAAACUCAAAGGACUUGGCGGUGCUUUAUAUCCCUCUAGAGGAGCCUGUUCU
rnacentral:rRNA from 1 species